rnacentral:rRNA from 1 species
AUGGGCUACCUUGACGGCUCGAUCAAGGAGCCCGCUGCCGUCAUCGUCACCGAGAAGGAAGCCAACGGGAAGAAGGAGACCGUUGAGAUACCCAAUCCAGAGCAUGCGAUCUGGGUUACCCAAGACCAACAGGUGCUUACUUUUCUGCUUGCAUCGUUGUCUCGCGAAGUGCUAAUGCAGGUGUCCAACCACACCAUGGCCGCGGGCGUCUGGCAAGCUCUGGUAGAAAGCUUCUCCGCGCAGUCCAGGGCGCGCCAGAUUCAGCUCCGCUCGGCCAUCGGCAACGCCCGCAAGGGUGAUCUCUCUGCUUCCGCUUACUUCACGAAGAUGAAGGGACUAGCGGAUGAACUCGCUGCUGCAGGAAAGCCCCUGGACGAGGACGACGUCGUCUCGCACAUCCUC